GGUUAUAGUUCAGCGGUAGAACGCUUGCCUCGCACAUGUGAGGCACUGGGUUCAAUUCUCAGCACCA
rnacentral:tRNA from 1 species